CGCCCUCUGCUCCACGCCUCCUGGGCGCAGAGGCUACGCCGGCAGCCGUCUCUUAGGAGAUUUCUCCGCAGUGGGGACGGGGGUCAGGAUUUGCAGGCGAGCAAGGACAGAGAGGAGAAAUCGAACAGGGAGAAAAGAUCCUGGUUCCAGUUCAAGAUGGAGACCUAAGAGGAUCCUGAACUCCCCUCCUCCGCGAAAGCAUGAAAUCCACAGCUACCUGAGGAACAACUUCCUCUGAAAACAAAACAAAACAAAACCAGAAACAAAAACAAAACCCGAAACAUCGUCUGAGAGACUCCUAUUUGUCAGUUAAAUAUAGAUGGUGCUGGAAGGUGCCUGAAAUAAAACCACCACGAUUGUGUCAGCAUUACUGGAUUAGACAGAUGUUUGUGAAACUACUGCAGUAUUCUUUCUCAUCUCUGGUGGCAGGGGAGUAUAUGGUUGUCUCUGGGGACAUAUUCUUAUAGCUCUUGGCAAGAAAAGACAGAAGAAGGACUGUGAUUGGACUGACUUAAAGGACACUGCUGUCCUGACCCUUCACUAGGGCCAGCUGUGUGAGAUAAGCACAGUCUGCAUUCUCAGCUAAUCCUUUUGCCUUCAGGACUAGGAGAAGAGAGAGAAAAGAAAACAGGAAAAGGAGACAAGAUGGGGUAUAUUUAUACAAGUUCUCUCAUCCCCUACUUCCUUCACUCACUUUAGUAUUGAUGCCACAAUUAUGAAUUUUUCUAAUCGAAUGGACCUUGAUAAUACCCUCUGGGAAAUAUCUUAAGGAUGUCACAUUCAAGACUGAAUAGCCAAUGUAUUAAUGUUUCAGAAUUUAGGAAUAUUUGGGGAAGUUGCAACAGAUUUUUUUCAGUGAAAGUAUACAUACUUUUGCUUUGUGACAUCUUCCUCAAUGAAAACCUACAUAAAAUUUUAUAUUUCAAAGCCCUAAAGAUGAAAUACAUUUUGAAAAAUCCCCUGUGAGGUAGUAUCGGUAAAUUCAUGGUUAUUUUCACCCCAUAAAGAAGUAAACAUCAUCACAUUCCUCAUGAAAAACUCCAGCAAGAGCCAUUGGCAUGGUUUGAAUAUAAACAUUUAGCAACUAAAUGACUUUAUCAAGCUACAAUCCCUGUGCUCAGCAAUUUAAAGGAAAUCAGCAGCUUAACCAAGGUUUUUGUUGUUGUUGUUUUUUGUUUUUUGUUUUUUUGCUGAGCAAUUGGGGGUUAAAAAUAAAACACUAUUACAUCAAACUGCAGACACACAAAAAUCUAAAUAAGUUCGCUAUCUUCUCAGGGCAUUUCUGUACCUAAUGAGCACAGCUGAGCCCAAAGGUGUCAAGAUGUUUCUCACCAUUAGGCAAUGGGGUGAAGGAUUAUCUAUUAAUUCCUGGGUGGUCAUCGUGAGUUCUUUGGGGUAAAAUAGGGGAAGAUCAAAAGAGGAUGUAAAUAUUUUUUAAUCAAUGAAAGAGGGAACCGAUUCAUUCCUCUGACCUUUUUGAUUGCAGGGGAGAUACAUUAUCUGCAUUAAUUAGCAUGUUGAAAAAUUCCCUCUGGAUUGCCAAGUCCCUUCCUAUGAGUCGUGGGAAAUAUGUUUGUAACAUGAUGUGCAGCCGUCUGUCAUACAGAGCUGAUUUUUUGGACUUCAUCUUGGAGUACGCAUGAAAUGUGAAACAGCUUAGUGAGUUGUGUCACAUUAGUCUUUCUAAUUGCUGAAAAAGGUUAACAUUUGUCUAACAACAUUAAUGCACAGGGCUUGGGUUUUGAAAUGCCAGUUUGCUUAAGAUACUGGGUGUUGGGGCGCCUGGGUGGCUCAGUGGGUUAAGCCGCUGCCUUCGGCUCAGGUCAUGAUCUCGGGGUCCUGGGAUCGAGUCCCGCAUCGGGCUCUCUGCUCAGCAGGGAGCCUGCUUCCCUCUCUCUCUCUCUCUGCCUGCCUCUCCGUCUACUUGUGAUUUCUCUCUGUCAAAUAAAUAAAUAA